AAUAUAACAUAAUAAUUAAUUUGAAUAAUGCAAUGUUUCUGUUUAGUUUUAGGGUUAUACUUGUUAUUUUCUUAGAUCCAUUUUAUUAAUACGUUGAAAGCAUACUGAGAUAUCAUCCACGUAUAAAAUUUACUUUUGAUCUAUAAUUUUAGCGAUAUCAUUAAUACAUAUUAGCAAUAAAUAAUGUCUAUUAACCCUUAUUAUUUGUUGGUAACGCUUCAGGGAAAUUCUGAAUUUCCAUAACGGUUAUUGACUCUUGGUUUUUAUUGAUCAUCUUGAAUAGCUGAAAAUAUUGAAUCGUUGAUGUUAGGCUUACAAUCUGUUGGUGUAAAGAACCUGUGUUAGGCAAAAGGUUAAGACUCCGUGGUUACGUUCCACCCACACCUUAAGGACUGGGUGAACCGCUUGCACUAUCCGGUUCAUUAAUCUCCCAUUCCUGGUCGUGAACUCCAACAAGAGCGGACAUCCCUAGACUUCCACAGGCCUCUACCUGACCUGUAGUGCUAUUCUCUAAGCAAACAGCCUAGACAUCAGCCUUGACGCAGCGAUGAAAUAUUGAAAUGGUAUUCACUAAUUCUUAAGACGCGACACUAGCGCCCAAAGACGAGCUCAAAGACGAGCGGCAUAAACGGGAACUACUCAAGGCUGUGCGAUUUGACAUUUUGCCAUAGUAUUUGGUAUUCACUAACAAAAAUCAGCCUCGCCUUCGCCGACAGCCUAGCCUACAGCCUCGAUUUCUUAUGUCAAACUCAAAAGCUUUGUUUUCUACGCUGUUUGCAUAGUAUUCAUCUAAUAUAUUUAUUUGUUUCUUGAAUUCUGUGAUUAUUAAUUGUAUUGAAAUUAUCAAUUUGUGUUUAAAAACGAUUGCUGCCCGUUUAUGUGUAUUGACCCAUUUGUUGAAAGAAGCUAAAAUAGAAAAUGAUUGUAAGAAAUGCCGACAAUCAACAACUUUAUGUGAUGUGGAUUAUAUUCAUCAUUACCGACUUUCUGAAGAAUUAAUCAAUAUGUUAGAAAAAGAAUUGUCACCAUGUAUGCCUGUUCCAGAGAGUUGUUAAAGCUAAAGGUGAUUUUGAAACUCAUUUAGUAGCAUGACACAAACCCUUGGACAGCCACAAUAAUAGUAGUGUAUUGCUGUAUUGUUUGUGAUAUGCUGAUAAUAUGAUGCAGUUACAUCAUCUAUACAAAAUGAAGAAGCACAAAAGAAAAUUUUGUAGUCUGAAAAUAAGCUAGCUAUACUUUUUGUACUUAUAUCUUAAAACUAUUUUCAAAUACUUUUUUAUUGUUACAUUUUUGUCUACCUGUGAAUUAAAAUUAAUAUUAUAUUAUGUUGUAAAUGUAUAUUUUAAUUUAAAAUUAUUAUAAUUAAUUCAUAUUAUAACUAGUAUGGAGUAAGAAAUUAAAAAAAAUAUUCAUUAAAAAUUAUUUAUUUGAAAUUGAAACAAGUUUAUAAUUAUAAAAUUUUAUUGUAAUUGUGUUUUUAUUUGAAAAUUAUAUAAGAUGAAACUUAUAUUUCAAAAUUACUAAUGACUAUUAAAUGACAUAAUUUAAUCUUAUAUUUUCAAUAAUGAACUUGAUUUAACUAAUAAUUCCAAUAACUCUUGUUAUGUUUGGCAGUGUAUAUUUUUAGAAAUGUAUUAUUGUAAAAUCUAUUAGUAUUUUAAAAACCAAAAUUGAGGUUUCUCCCCUUCUUCACAAUGGAUGGUAGAAUCAUAAAGAAUUACCAUUUAUAAUAUUUUAAAUUUAAUUGAAUAAAAAUUAUUUGACAUUUUUUUAAAUUUUUUUUAAUUAAAUCGUACAAUGGCUGACUUUAAUUUAGUCAUAUCUCAUUCAUUAGCUAUAAGAUAUGAACUAGUGUUGUCUGAUUCUCUAUCAAAAUUUGUUCUGUCUCUACUCGGUGCUCUUCAGUGGCAACAAAUCUUUGUGAGACUACUCUCUUUCUAGUUGAGGCUGCUAUUGUGAAGGAGAUAAGUGUCUUCGGGAUACUGUCAGUCAAAUGACGGCGUGGACCUAAAAAUAACAAUAAGACCAAUUAGACACAUAAUUCUAAAAUUAUAAAUUAGUUAUUUAUUUAAGAUACUCCACAAAAAUAUAAUUAAUCCUUUUUUCUGUUCGUGCAUGUCCUGUCACAAGCCAUGUCUGAUUCUUUAUAUAAUCCAUCAGCAUCUCCGACUACUUUGCGAAGGGACCUCAUUUCAUGGCAUGUUACGAGAUAUGCAUUUAUUUUAGUUACUAAAAAUAUAACCUUAAAAACAAUAAAGUAAAUAAAAAGCACAUUUUACUUACGUAUUUGAUAGAUACAUCCAAACUUAUAAAACGUUGGUAAAGUUACGUUAAUUUUAUUAAUUAUUUUUAAAAGAGAAUAAACAAAUACAAAAAGUGCGCCUCUGGAAUGUUAAGUACAAGGAAUAUAAUACUCUCUACGUACCUACGUAUAAGUGUUAUUUGUUUAUUUUACGGCAAUGGAAGCAAGGGUAUUCAAACAAAUCUUAACUUUAAAAAACAAAAUCAAAUGUUUGAUGUAUAAAUUUAUGUUUAUUUUAUAUAAUAUUUAUUUAAAUAACAUUCUAAACUGAAUAAAACAUUCCAUUUGUCAAUAAAAUAUUAUAUUUCUACA